CUCGAGGUUCCUGUUGCGGUACUAGUGCAGUUGCUCAGAUCAGGGACUGAAAGCACCGUUGUGGGCGCACUGAAUGCCCUGCUUGUAUUGGAGAGUGAUGAUUCAACAAGUGCAGAAGCAAUGGCUGAGAGUGGUGCUGUAGAAGCUCUUCUGGAUCUCUUGAGGAGUCAUCAGUGUGAGGAAGCUGCUGCAAGACUCAUUGAGGCAUUGCUGAACAAUAUAAGAAUAAGGGAGGCGAAGGCUGCUAAAAAUGCUAUCGCACCUUUAUCCAUGUACCUUCUGGAUCCACAGACACAGUCUCAACAGGGAAGAUUGCUUGCUGCUCUUGCUCUUGGAGAUCUUUUCCAAAAUGAAGGUCUUGCUCGUUCUACUGAUGCUGUCG
rnacentral:lncRNA from 1 species